rnacentral:lncRNA from 7 species
CAACACAUCAUUUUUUGCCGGAAAACGGUUUCUGGUCGAAUUUUGAUUUCCAAAUUUGAAAAUAUUUGUACCGAAAACCUCUUGAGAAACACCAAAAACGGUCCUUUUCUAUCGAAAACUGCUUGUGAUGCACCGAAAAUCUUUUUUAUAUUUAAAAUUACAAAUCGUUUGGGAUUAGUGGUUUUUGGGUGGUUUGUCGUUUCCAUUGACUAAUGUUUUUUAGUGGAAAACGGUUUGGUAAAGCCUGCCUCCCGCUGAGCGUUCCCCUGAGGGGGAACCACUGGAUGGUGAGAGUGCCCCCUUUGGGCGACAGGGUAAGCGGGAGGGGACACUGUUGGAGACCACCUAAAAGCAACUGAUAAUCUGCUAGACCGAAAAGUAACUUGACCAAACCAUUAGUUGAACCCUCACCUUCCAACAUGCUUAGACCAUCCCACGGACUAUCAUGACUAAGAAAAUUAUGGAGAAGGACGAUAUUGAGGAGGACAAGACCGAAUCUCCCUAUAUCGGCUAGUCACGGUGCCUCCUGCACCAAGGCACCUAGGUAGGCAACGACGAGGGCUGCAACACCAACGAUCGACAAAUGGUUGGCUAGAGUGUGGUGGCAUCUUGAUCGGGAUUGAAGAUGGAGGCAACUAUAGGUUGUGAUGUUCGUCAGUCGUUCGGACUCAUGGUUCUCAAUCAGGUUGAUUCCAACCAAUUCCCCUCUUAUCUUUCCUAUUUAUUCAUUUUUAAAUAUAUCUUCCUCUUCUAUUCCUCCCCUAUUUCACCUCCUCUCCAACCAUUCCCUCUAUCUAGCUCUUCCUUAUACUUUAAUUAAGUUAUCUAACUUUUAUACAUCAAUUUUUGGAGUUUUAAAAAUCAUACAAUAUUCUUAUUACCGUAAUAUACAUUGUUAUUAGUUAAUUAAAUUUUAAAUAGAUUAAUUUCACAGUUAAACUCAUUAAUCAGUGAAGGGUAGAUUAGAGCUCCUUCAAAGGGAGAUUUUAUCCUCUCACUCAAAACACAGGGAAGGGAAGGGGGAAUGGUUGGACUGAAUAGGGCACCGCCCUACACUAUCUUUGUCAGAGGAGGAAAUAGUCAUGGGAUGGUUAGAGAGCAUGUCACAAGUAGACUCACGCUUAGUAUGAUUAGCGGCUGAAGCGCUCUCCAAUGAAGCCUCCUCUCUCACCCCACGAUGCGAGGGUGUACGGUUGCGCCCGCUCAGACUCAACGCCCCUUGCUCGGGGCCAUGCUGCAUGGAGGAGAGGGGCUUCUCUCCUCUUGCACACGGAGCUCUAAUCUCUCUCUUUCAUUAAUCACUAAAUUUAUAUAUGAAAUCAACUUUUUAAGCUUUUUACUUGAUGGCAAUGUAUAUUGCAAUACUAUACAUAUUUUAUAACUUUUAAACAAAAAAGUUGAUAAAAUAUUAAAUAACUGAAUUAUAGUAUAUAGAGGGUGUUGAUUAGGGAUAAUGUUUGAAGAGAAGAAUAAAUAGGGGAAAAGUCAUUUACGCCCUGUUU